rnacentral:lncRNA from 1 species
AUGUUGAUGCCUAAGAAGAACCGGAUUGCCAUUUAUGAACUCCUUUUUAAGGAGGGAGUCAUGGUGGCCAAGAAGGAUGUCCACAUGCCUAAGCACCCGGAGCUGGCAGACAAGAAUGUGCCCAACCUUCAUGUCAUGAAGGCCAUGCAGUUUCUCAAGUCCCGAGGCUAUGUGAAGGAACAGUUUGCCUGGAGACAUUUCUACUGGUAUCUUACCAAUGAGGGUAUCCAGUAUCUCCGUGAUUACCUUCAUCUGCCCCCAGAGAUUGUGCCUGCCACCCUAUGCCGUAGCCGUCCAGAGACUGGCAGGCCUCGGCCUAAAGGUCUGGAGAUUGAGCGACCUACGAGACUCGCAAGAGGGGAAGCUGACAGAGAUACCCACAGAUGAGUGCUGUGCCACCUGGUGCCGGCAAGAAAGCUGAGGCUGGGGCUGGGUCAGCAACCGAAUUCCAGUUUAGAGGCGGAUUUGGUCAUGGACGUGGUCAGCCACCUCAG